CUUACUUACACAAAAAGCCCUAAACCAGAGACGGAACAUGAAUUCAAUCACCAAAAGAUUGGCCCCUGCUACAAAACACUUCAACCAAGUUGAUCAGCAUAGAUCUGAAAAGCUAACCAAGAUACCAACUCAGACAAAGUCAAACGAAGCCCUUCAGGCUCAAAGGGGGAGCAGCACCCUCUGGAACAGACUGCUCCUUGUUAUGGACAUUCGGAUCUGCUCUGAGUAAAAAUAAAACAGGAAGCCAACAGCUUGGGGAACAAGAUUUCCUGUCACCAACAGCAACAGCUCAAGAACCAAGAGAAUCAGCUGCUUGCUCAUAACUUUGAACCUCCCUUUAAUAGUCAUUUCAUGGCAGCUGUGCCUAUCUUUGGGGUGCAGAGGUGUUUCCUGAAUGCUGUUCUACUAUAUGUCGGACUACACUCCCCCUCCAUCUUUGCCUCUGGACAGCCUUCUCUGGCAUCCAGGAGCAGUCAGGAGCUACCUCUUCCUGAACUCGGAAGCUAGAAUCCAUAUCUCCUGUCCUUGGCACUUCAUUGUCUUCUAUUUUGGAUUACAGUUCUUGGGAGGCAUGUCUCAUUCUGCCAUUUAACUGCAAGCUUUCUGAGGGCAGUAACUCUCUCAUCUUGUAUCCCCAAGGCCUUAUAUAUAGCAAGAAUUUAAUAAAUGCUGGAUGAAUUCAAA